rnacentral:rRNA from 1 species
CCUACGGGGGGCUGCAGUGGGGAAUAUUGCACAAUGGGCGAAAGCCUGAUGCAGCAACGCCGCGUGAAGGAAGAAGGGUUUCGGCUCGUAAACUUCUAUCAACAGGGACGAAAGAAAUGACGGUACCUGAAUAAGAAGCCCCGGCCAACUACGCGGCAGCAGCCGCGGUAAUACGGAGGGGGCAAUCGUUAUCCGGAAUUACUGGGGGAAAAGGGUGAGUAGGCGGCAUGGUAAGCCAGAGGUGAAAGCGUUGGGCGUAACCCGAGGAUUGCAUUUGGAACUAUCAAGCUAGAGUACAGGAGGGGAAAGCGGAAUUCCUAGUGUAGCGGUGAAAUGCGUAGAUAUUAGGAAGAACACCAGUGGCGAAGGCGGCUUUCUGGACUGAAACUGACGCUGAGGCACGAAAGCGUGGGGAGCGAACAGGAUUAGAUACCCGUGUAGUC